CUUUGCAGCCAGGCUGCUCCCGCUGAUGGCAGCGGAGGAGCCGACGUGUGGCACUGCAUCGCCCGCAGCGCCCGUACAGCUGAGCGCACACACGUGCGCAGGGAGCGUUUUAACGCAGAGCCUUCCGCUCUCCCGGCGCGGCCCAGGAGAAAACACCGCGUCCCGCCCCGCUGCUGCCGGGAGGAACAGUGAUGCGGUGGGUUCUGUUUGCACGACUUCGGUGAAAAACUGUCUGCGAUGAAAGUGCAGCCGUGGAGCGGAGCGGCGCGCAGUGCGCUCCGGGGGAAGCUCAGACUGCAGUCCGUGCGCUCUGUGCUGCUGCUGCAAAACCGCCGUGAGCGGCGGCACGAGGGGGGGCACUGACAGCACACCACGGUGACACCGCCCUGUGGGGCGGGGGGGGAUGGGGAUCCAGGGGUAUGGGGUUGGGUUUGGGGUCUGGGAGGUGAUGGGGAUCCAGGGGUAUGGGGUUGGGUUUGGCACUGGGAGGUGAUGGGGAUCCAGGGAUAUGGGGUUGGGUUUGGGGUCUGGGAGGUGAUGGGGAUCCAGGGAUAUGGGGUUGGGUUUGGGGCCUGGGAGAUGGUGGGGAUCCAGAGACAAGGUGUUAGGUUUGGGCUCUGGGAGGUGAUGGGGAUCCAGGGAUAUGGGGUUAGGUUUGGGCUCUGGGAGGUGAUGGGGAUCCAGGGAUAUGGGGUUAGGUUUGGGCUCUGGGAGGUGAUGGGGAUCCAGGGAUAUGGGGUUGGGUUUGGGGUCUGGGAGGUGAUGGGGAUCCAGGGGUAUGGGGUUAGGUUUGGCACUGGGAGGUGAUGGGGAUCCAGGGAUAUGGGGUUGGGUUUGGGGCCUGGGAGAUGGUGGGGAUCCAGGGAUAUGGGGUUCGGUUUGGCACUGGGAGGUGAUGGGGAUCUGGGGAUAUGGGGUUAGGUUUGGGGUCUGGGAGAUGGUGGGGAUCCAGGGAUAUGGGGUUAGGUUUGGCACUGGGAGGUGAUGGGGAUCCAGGGAUAUGGGAUUAAGUUUGGGGUCUGGGAGGUGAUGGGGAUCCAGGGGUAUGGGGUUAGGUUUGGCACUGGGAGGUGAUGGGGAUCCAGGGAUAUGGGGUUGGGUUUGGGGUCUGGGAGGUGAUGGGGAUCCAGGGAUAUGGGGUUGGGUUUGGCACUGGGAGGUGAUGGGGAUCCAGGGAUAUGGGGUUAGGUUUGGC
rnacentral:lncRNA from 1 species